CGGACGGGUGAGUAACACGUGGAUAACCUACCUAUAAGACUGGGAUAACUUCGGGAAACCGGAGCUAAUACCGGAUAAUAUAUUGAACCGCAUGGUUCAAUAGUGAAAGACGGUUUUGCUGUCACUUAUAGAUGGAUCCGCGCCGCAUUAGCUAGUUGGUAAGGUAACGGCUUACCAAGGCAGCGAUGCGUAGCCGACCUGAGAGGGUGAUCGGCCACACUGGAACUGAGACACGGUCCAGACUCCUACGGGAGGCAGCAGCG
rnacentral:rRNA from 1 species